AAAUUGAAGAGUUUGAUCAUGGCUCAGAUUGAACGCUGGCGGCAGGCUUAACACAUGCAAGUCGAACGGUAACAGGAAGCAGCUUGCUGCUUUGCUGACGAGUGGCGGACGGGUGAGUAAUGUCUGGGAAACUGCCUGAUGGAGGGGGAUAACUACUGGAAACGGUGGCUAAUACCGCAUAACGUCGCAAGACCAAAGAGGGGGACCUUCGGGCCUCUUGCCAUCAGAUGUGCCCAGAUGGGAUUAGCUUGUUGGUGAGGUAACGGCUCACCAAGGCGACGAUCCCUAGCUGGUCUGAGAGGAUGACCAGCCACACUGGAACUGAGACACGGUCCAGACUCCUACGGGAGGCAGCAGUGGGGAAUAUUGCACAAUGGGCGCAAGCCUGAUGCAGCCAUGCCGCGUGUAUGAAGAAGGCCUUCGGGUUGUAAAGUACUUUCAGCGGGGAGGAAGGUGUUGUGGUUAAUAACCACAGCAAUUGACGUUACCCGCAGAAGAAGCACCGGCUAACUCCGUGCCAGCAGCCGCGGUAAUACGGAGGGUGCAAGCGUUAAUCGGAAUUACUGGGCGUAAAGCGCACGCAGGCGGUCUGUCAAGUCGGAUGUGAAAUCCCCGGGCUCAACCUGGGAACUGCAUUCGAAACUGGCAGGCUUGAGUCUUGUAGAGGGGGGUAGAAUUCCAGGUGUAGCGGUGAAAUGCGUAGAGAUCUGGAGGAAUACCGGUGGCGAAGGCGGCCCCCUGGACAAAGACUGACGCUCAGGUGCGAAAGCGUGGGGAGCAAACAGGAUUAGAUACCCUGGUAGUCCACGCCGUAAACGAUGUCUACUUGGAGGUUGUGCCCUUGAGGCGUGGCUUCCGGAGCUAACGCGUUAAGUAGACCGCCUGGGGAGUACGGCCGCAAGGUUAAAACUCAAAUGAAUUGACGGGGGCCCGCACAAGCGGUGGAGCAUGUGGUUUAAUUCGAUGCAACGCGAAGAACCUUACCUGGUCUUGACAUCCACAGAACUUUCCAGAGAUGGACUGGUGCCUUCGGGAACUGUGAGACAGGUGCUGCAUGGCUGUCGUCAGCUCGUGUUGUGAAAUGUUGGGUUAAGUCCCGCAACGAGCGCAACCCUUAUCCUUUGUUGCCAGCGGUCCGGCCGGGAACUCAAAGGAGACUGCCAGUGAUAAACUGGAGGAAGGUGGGGAUGACGUCAAGUCAUCAUGGCCCUUACGACCAGGGCUACACACGUGCUACAAUGGCGCAUACAAAGAGAAGCGACCUCGCGAGAGCAAGCGGACCUCAUAAAGUGCGUCGUAGUCCGGAUUGGAGUCUGCAACUCGACUCCAUGAAGUCGGAAUCGCUAGUAAUCGUGGAUCAGAAUGCCACGGUGAAUACGUUCCCGGGCCUUGUACACACCGCCCGUCACACCAUGGGAGUGGGUUGCAAAAGAAGUAGGUAGCUUAACCUUCGGGAGGGCGCUUACCACUUUGUGAUUCAUGACUGGGGUGAAGUCGUAACAAGGUAACCGUAGGGGAACCUGCGGUUGGAUCACCUCCUUACCUGAAAGAA
rnacentral:rRNA from 2 species